CACUUCGGUGGACUAGUGGUUAGAGCAUCCGCAUCAGAUGCGGGAGGUCGCGGGUUCGAACCCCAGCCGAGUCA